rfam:Spinacia oleracea cultivar SynViroflay scaffold12712.con0008.1, whole genome shotgun sequence.
UUACUUACCUGGACGGGGUCAAUGAGUGAUCAUUAAGGCUCAUGGCCUAAGUAGGUGACCUCCAUUGCACUUCGGAGGGGUGUCUGCCUAACAUCUCCCCAAGUGGAAGAGUGUACGUCAUAAUUUGUGAUGAUAGUGGGGGCCUGCGUUCGCGCGGCCCCUAU